rnacentral:misc_RNA from 1 species
UCCUCGUUAUCCGAGGCAGUCUCCUUAGAGUUCUCAGCUUAACCUGAUAGCAACUAAGGACAAGGGUUGCGCUCGUUGCGGGACUUAACCCAACACCUCACGGCACGAGCUGACGACAGCCAUGCAGCACCUGUACAGUUGUCCCGAAGGACGGCCGUCUUUCAACGGCUUUCAACUGCUUUUCAAACCCCGGUAAGGUUCUUCGCGUUGCAUCGAAUUAAACCACAUGCUCCACCGCUUGUGCGGGCCCCCGUCAAUUCCUUUGAGUUUCAACCUUGCGAUCGUACUCCCCAGGCGGGAUACUUAAUGCGUUAACUUCGGCACUGAGUCUUUAAACCCAACACCUAGUAUCCAUCGUUUACGGUGUGGACUAC